CCAGAAUGCAAAGGGAGCUUCUAAGAGAGGCUGAGAGGAAGGAUAAAUCCUUCGACCUUUACACCUGAUUUGGAUAAUGCCAACGGAGGGAAUGCAGGGUGCACAACUC
rnacentral:ncRNA from 2 species